GCCGGCGUAGCUUAGCUAGGUGAGAGCAUCCGUCUCCAAAACGGAAAGCGUGGGUUCGAAUCCCGCCGCCGGUG
rnacentral:tRNA from 4 species